UGGUGGUCACCUCCCCAGCAGAGUGAGCAGACGGACCACGUGUGCCCCAUCCCCAAGUCACUGUCCGCGGGCAAAUGGCAGGACCUUCAGCAUCAUUUGUGUCGUGGAGAAAAACGCGGUGGGCCAGGAGGACGCCUCCUGACAAAGGCCCGUGGUGUGAGAUGUCCAAUUCCGACAUGGUGAAGCUGCAGUGCUGCGGGACACUGCAUCGCUGCAAGGCUUUGGUGGGCACAUUCGAGCAGGAGUUUGGGCUUGACAAGUGUCCCGAUGAAAAGUGGAAAGUCAUGGUCCUCAAACUUAAUCUCAAGCAAGCUGAAGCACCUGCCUGUCCGUCUAUGCAGCACUAGCCACACAGCCCGUGAUCUAGGCCAUAGAGUACGUUGCAAAUCAGUAGCGCAGAUGUGUGGGCGUGGCAGGGGUGUUAUUUUAAUACAACGAGGAGGCAGCUAAGGGAAAAAAAUAAACUAAAGACAAAUAAAGCCCCCUAAAUACUACUAUUAUGAAAGAAAUUAAACAGAAUGGUCAGAGAGACAGCAAGAACAUUGCCACAUCCCAACCUUCACAGCACUGGUGACUGGCCUCCCUCACCCAGCAGGCCAGCACCAACCUUCAUACAGCGAGGAGACAGCUAAGGGGAAAAAAUAAACUUUAAGACAAAUAAAGCCCCCUAAACACGUACAGCUCUUAUGAAAGAAAUUAAACAGAGUGGCCAGCAGAGAGGUCAGUUUCAACCCAUUUAUGUUGCGUGACUAUAGUAUCUACACUGGCAGAGGAAGGUGGUGCUCUGCUAGCUAUUACCGUCUCGAUUAUAGAGAAGGCCUGACACCUUGCUGGAUUCUUUGCCGAUGAGUCAUCCAAGUAAGGCCGAGAGUGUCCCGCGCUCUCCAAUAAAAUGUUAUUUUA